UUGAUGUUUGUGUUAACAUCCAAGAGCGUG
rnacentral:piRNA from 1 species